UUCGGAGGUACUCGAGUGGCGAACGGGUGAGUAACACGUGGGCAAUCUGCCCUGCACUUCGGGAUAAGCCUGGGAAACUGGGUCUAAUAGNCCGGAUAGGACCUCAAGACGCAUGUCUUCUGGUGGAAAGCUUUUGCGGUGUGGGGUGGGCCCGCGGCCUAUCAGCUUGUUGGUGGGGUGACGGCCUACCAAGGCGACGACGGGUAGCCGGCCUGAGAGGGUGUCCGGCCACACUGGGACUGAGAUACGGCCCAGACUCCUACGGGAGGCAGCAGUGGGGAAUAUUGCACAAUGGGCGCAAGCCUGAUGCAGCGACGCCGCGUGGGGGAUGACGGCCUUCGGGUUGUAAACCUCUUUCACCAUCGACGAAGGUCCGGGUUUUCUCGGAUUGACGGUAGGUGGAGAAGAAGCACCGGCCAACUACGUGCCAGCAGCCGCGGUAAUACGUAGGGUGCGAGCGUUGUCCGGAAUUACUGGGCGUAAAGAGCUCGUAGGUGGUUUGUCGCGUUGUUCGUGAAAUCUCACGGCUUAACUGUGAGCGUGCGGGCGAUACGGGCAGACUAGAGUACUGCAGGGGAGACUGGAAUUCCUGGUGUAGCGGUGGAAUGCGCAGAUAUCAGGAGGAACACCGGUGGCGAAGGCGGGUCUCUGGGCAGUAACUGACGCUGAGGAGCGAAAGCGUGGGGAGCGAACAGGAUUAGAUACCCUGGUAGUCCACGCCGUAAACGGUGGGUACUAGGUGUGGGUUUCCUUCCUUGGGAUCCGUGCCGUAGCUAACGCAUUAAGUACCCCGCCUGGGGAGUACGGCCGCAAGGCUAAAACUCAAAGGAAUUGACGGGGGCCCGCACAAGCGGCGGAGCAUGUGGAUUAAUUCGAUGCAACGCGAAGAACCUUACCUGGGUUUGACAUGCACAGGACGCGUCUAGAGAUAGGCGUUCCCUUGUGGCCUGUGUGCAGGUGGUGCAUGGCUGUCGUCAGCUCGUGUCGUGAGAUGUUGGGUUAAGUCCCGCAACGAGCGCAACCCUUGUCUCAUGUUGCCAGCGGGUAAUGCCGGGGACUCGUGAGAGACUGCCGGGGUCAACUCGGAGGAAGGUGGGGAUGACGUCAAGUCAUCAUGCCCCUUAUGUCCAGGGCUUCACACAUGCUACAAUGGCCGGUACAAAGGGCUGCGAUGCCGUAAGGUUAAGCGAAUCCUUUUAAAGCCGGUCUCAGUUCGGAUCGGGGUCUGCAACUCGACCCCAUGAAGUCGGAGUCGCUAGUAAUCGCAGAUCAGCAACGCUGCGGUGAAUACGUUCCCGGGCCUUGUACACACCGCCCGUCACGUCAUGAAAGUCGGUAACACCCGAAGCCAGUGG
rnacentral:rRNA from 1 species